rnacentral:lncRNA from 1 species
CCGAUAGUGGCUUGGGUGGAUAACUUGAGAAGACUGUGAUCAGCAUUUAAAUCAUGGGUCUCAUCCAAGAGGAUUAUGAAUAGAAAUUUGAAGGAUAAGGUUUUACAUGACAUUGAGCUCUUUGAUUAGAAAGAGGAAAAAAUUGAUCUCUCACAGCAUGAAUUUGAAUCAAGAAGGAUAUCCUUAGGCACUCUGUUGGAAAAAUUUUCAAGAAAGAAGAGUUAUAUUGGAAGCAAAAAUCCAAAAUUACUUGGCUGAGAGAAGAGAAUAGAAAUACUGUUUUCUUCCACAAGGUUGCAUC